AAAAAAGAGUGAAGGGUAGGGAGUGGUGGCAGAUAGGCCCGAGAGAUAAAGGGAGAUUGAGCGAAAGAAUAAGACUCCUCUUGGAAGAUGGCCGACAGCUUUUCUUUGUAUAGGAGAGAGAGAGUCACUGAAGCGAGAGAAACACGUCUCCUCCUCUGCUCUUCCUGGAGCUGACACCUCUCCUCGCGUGAAGAUACGCUUAUGUCUCCUACCUCGUGUUUGUGUGUGUGUAACUGGGCCACACCUCGCCGCACCUCCACACGUGCUGACAAUCACCACUGCUUAAGCGCCCUGGGCUCCUCUCCACUCAUCGCCAGAUUAUUCCUUGACCAGUGGACUCCUGCACAACAGACCAGCCACUGCCGCUCAUUCCUGUACGCUCUCGUCACCUCCACCAGACCUUUCCCUCUCCCGUAAAUCAUCUUCAUUAUUAAUGAACCAUAUACUCCAACUCUGCCGUCCAGUGUCUGCUCUUGGAUUUAGCUAAAACCAACCCGAACCCAGCCAUAUACAACACUUUUGGAGGAACUGGAACGGCUCAUCGCCCCAACAUCCGUUGGAUCCGUGGCAUCUAACAAUGCUCUUGUGACAAUGUAAAAUGCACAGUUCAUGUUUCUUGUAACUUUUCACUUUCAUUUUUUAAAAUGCAUUCCUUUCCGUCUGGCUGGAUUAAUGGAUUUCAAUUAUAUGAACAACAAUAAUGAAAAUCUCCUUUUUUCACCUUAUUAAAAAUGUGGCCGUAAACUAAGAAACAUUUUCGUAUCCCACUUAUCCUCAGAUCUCUGCACCAGCUACCUGUUGAUUUAACUCAUUAUCAUCAAAGCCCAAAGGUAGCUUGUCAGAGGAUAUGUCCUCGCUGCCAGAGACAUUUCUGCUGUCAUUGUUACAAAAUCUGAACAGACGCAAAGGUUAUGAAACUUUUUGAAUGACUUGCCUGGGGGAUUAGGGCUUUGAUUAAGUUUAACAUUUUAAUAUAAUGAGCUUAUCAGUGACAUAAGAAAAAGAAAUAUGCUAGGUUAAUCAUUAUGUUUUUUCCUCUGUUUAAAAUGUAGUAUUUUGUGUGGGUGUUGAAAAAUAAAAUGUGCCAUUCAUAUUAUAUCACGAUUGUAUUGUCUGAUCUGGAGAAACUAAUCUUUCACUGAGUUAUGAAUAAUAUAUUUAAUGGAAAGG
ensembl:lncRNA